rnacentral:rRNA from 2 species
UACGGAGGGUGCAAGCGUUAAUCGGAAUUACUGGGCGUAAAGCGUGCGUAGGCGGUUUAUUAAGUCAGAUGUGAAAUCCCCGGGCUCAACCUGGGAACUGCAUCUGAUACUGGUAGACUAGAGUGUGGGAGAGGAGAGUGGAAUUUCCGGUGUAGCGGUGAAAUGCAUAGAGAUCGGAAGGAACAUCAGUGGCGAAGGCGACUCUCUGGACCAACACUGACGCUGAGGCACGAAAGCGUGGGUAGCAAACAGG